rnacentral:rRNA from 1 species
GCGGCGUGCUUAACACAUGCAAGUCGAACGAAGCACUCUAUUUGAUUUUCUUCGGAAAUGAAGAUUUUGUGACUGAGUGGCGGACGGGUGAGUAACGCGUGGGUAACCUGCCUCAUACAGGGGGAUAACAGUUGGAAACGACUGCUAAUACCGCAUAAGCGCACAGGAUCGCAUGAUCCGGUGUGAAAAACUCCGGUGGUAUGAGAUGGACCCGCGUCUGAUUAGCCAGUUGGCAGGGUAACGGCCUACCAAAGCGACGAUCAGUAGCCGACCUGAGAGGGUGACCGGCCACAUUGGGACUGAGACACGGCCCAAACUCCUACGGGAGGCAGCAGUGGGGAAUAUUGCACAAUGGGGGAAACCCUGAUGCAGCGACGCCGCGUGAGCGAAGAAGUAUUUCGGUAUGUAAAGCUCUAUCAGCAGGGAAGAAGAAUGACGGUACCUGACUAAGAAGCACCGGCUAAAUACGUGCCAGCAGCCGCGGUAAUACGUAUGGUGCAAGCGUUAUCCGGAUUUACUGGGUGUAAAGGGAGCGCAGGCGGUGCGGCAAGUCUGAUGUGAAAGCCCGGGGCUCAACCCCGGUACUGCAUUGGAAACUGUCGUACUAGAGUGUCGGAGGGGUAAGUGGAAUUCCUAGUGUAGCGGUGAAAUGCGUAGAUAUUAGGAGGAACACCAGUGGCGAAGGCGGCUUACUGGACGAUAACUG